AGUGAACGCUGGCGGUAGGCCUAACACAUGCAAGUCGAACGGCAGCACAGUAAGAGCUUGCUCUUACGGGUGGCGAGUGGCGGACGGGUGAGGAAUACAUCGGAAUCUACUUUUUCGUGGGGGAUAACGUAGGGAAACUUACGCUAAUACCGCAUACGACCUACGGGUGAAAGCAGGGGAUCUUCGGACCUUGCGCGAUUGAAUGAGCCGAUGUCGGAUUAGCUAGUUGGCGGGGUAAAGGCCCACCAAGGCGACGAUCCGUAGCUGGUCUGAGAGGAUGAUCAGCCACACUGGAACUGAGACACGGUUCAGAGUCCUACGGGAGGCAGCAGUGGGGAAUAUUGGACAAUGGGCGCAAGCCUGAUCCAGCCAUACCGCGUGGGUGAAGAAGGCCUUCGGGUUGUAAAGCCCUUUUGUUGGGAAAGAAAAGCAGCAGGUUAAUACCCCGCUGUUCUGACGGUACCCAAAGAAUAAGCACCGGCUAACUUCGUG
rnacentral:rRNA from 1 species